rnacentral:rRNA from 1 species
UACGUAGGGUGCGAGCGUUGUCCGGAAUUAUUGGGCGUAAAGGGCUCGUAGGCGGCUUGUCGCGUCGGGAGUGAAAACACGGGGCUUAACCCCGUGCCUGCUUCCGAUACGGGCAGACUAGAGGUAUGCAGGGGAGAACGGAAUUCCUGGUGUAGCGGUGAAAUGCGCAGAUAUCAGGAGGAACACCGGUGGCGAAGGCGGUUCUCUGGGCAUGACCUGACGCUGAGACGCGAAAGCGUGGUAGCAAACAGG